GCGCAGCAGUCGAGAAACUUUACAAUGCGGGAAACCGUGAUAAGGGAACCUCGAGUGCUGAUGCCCAGCAUUGGCUGUCCACAUGCCUAAAAGCAUGUGUUAGCAAGGGCCGGGCAAGACCGGUGCCAGCCGCCGCGGUAACACCGGCGGCUCGAGUGGUAGCCACUUUUAUUGGGUCUAAAGCGUCCGUAGCCGGCUUGGUAAGUCUUCUGGGAAAUCUGGCGGCUCAACCGUCAGGCGUCCAGGAGAUA
rnacentral:rRNA from 1 species